CCUACGGGUGGCAGCAGUGGGGAAUAUUGGACAAUGGGGGCAACCCUGAUCCAGCCAUGCCGCGUGUGUGAAGAAGGCCCUCGGGUUGUAAAGCACUUUCAGUGAGGAAGAACGCCUGGUGGUUAAUACCCAUCAGGAAAGACAUCACUCACAGAAGAAGCACCGGCUAACUCCGUGCCAGCAGCCGCGGUAAUACGGAGGGUGCGAGCGUUAAUCGGAAUUACUGGGCGUAAAGCGCGCGUAGGUGGCUUGAUAAGCCGGUUGUGAAAGCCCCGGGCUCAACCUGGGAACGGCAUCCGGAACUGUCAAGCUAGAGUGCAGGAGAGGAAGGUAGAAUUCCCGGUGUAGCGGUGAAAUGCGUAGAGAUCGGGAGGAAUACCAGUGGCGAAGGCGGCCUUCUGGACUGACACUGACACUGAGGUGCGAAAGCGUGGGUAGCAAACAGGAUUAGAUACCCCUGUAGUC
rnacentral:rRNA from 1 species